UACAGAGGGUGCGAGCGUUGUCCGGAAUCACUGGGCGUAAAGGGCGCGUAGGUGGUGGCUUAAGCGUGCGGUGAAAGCCCGGGGCUCAACCCCGGGUCUGCCGUGCCGACUGUCAAACUCGAGGGCUGUAGAGGCAGACGGAAUUCCGGGUGUAGCGGGUGGAAUGCGUAGAGAUCCGGAGGAAGACCGGUGGCGAAGGCGGUCUGCUGGGCAGUUUCUGGACAUUGAUGCGCGACAGCGUGGGGAGCAAACAGG
rnacentral:rRNA from 1 species